UGUGAUGCCAGAAUGACCCGUCACAGCCCAACCUCUAAUCCUGGCCACUGACUGCGGACAGAGCCCUCACCCUGGCCACAAACAUUAUUGAUUCGAGCUGGGGCCCAACUCUGGACACAGACUGGACCCUGACCCCCGACUCCAGCCAGAGACUGUCCCACAGAUCCUCUGGUCAUCUCAUAAGCUUGUGCCAUAGCCUCAAAGGGGACCAGAAAAUAACGCGAGUUAUCUCAGAGCAGGUCAUCCCCACGGAUGGAUACUGAUGGAUAACCAAAGCCUCCUGAUGACAGCUCAUUUUACAAAUGAAGAAAUGGAGGCAAAUCGUGUAAAGUGACUCACCCAGGGUCAUACAGCCAGAUUUGAACUCGAGAAGAUGAUUCUUCUUGACUACAGGUCCGGCACACUCUCACUGCAUCUAACGACCCUGACAGUUCGGGCCCUGUCUCUUAUCUGCACCCCUUUCUCCCACUCACACAGUCGUUCUCCUAGCCCUUCCCACGUACACCCAGAAUACUGCAACAGCCUCUUCGCUGCUUUCCCUGGCUCCAGUCUCUCCAUCCUUCACCCAGCUGUCUGUCUGACAUGCCUAAGACAUAGAUUUGACCACGUUACUCUUGAUCAAGAAAUUUCAGCCAUUCCCUAUGUUCUCUAGGAUCCAAAUACCUCUGCCCGGGCGUUGGAAGCUCUUCCUCAAGUUGCCUCUCGUCUUCCUUUCCAGGCUGCUUUCACACCUAUUAUCCCUCACAUUCUGGCCGUGCUUCUCUUCUCCAUUCUCUCAGGCCAUGACAUUCAAGCUCCCAUCUCCUUAUCUUUGUACAAGCUGUUUCCCAUCUCUGGCAUGUUUCCCCACCUCGCCUGGCCUCCUAAAAAGCCUCCUCCCCUUGGAGGCUCAGCUGCCUGCCUCCCACCAGAGGCCCUCUCCGGCGCCUUAGCCCCACGUUGCCUUUUAUUUCAUAUUCACUUAUUUGUGCAUUAUUGUUUGAUGAGCCCCUCGAGGGCUCAUAUUGGGGUUUGUAGAGCCCGAGUCUGGCACAAUGCUUGGGACAUAGUCGUCGCUUACUAAAUAACUGUGGUUGAACUAACUUGAAUGGCCAUAGGCCCGCCAUGAGCCAGGCCCCUUCCAGGAGACACUGACGCAUCUCUAUAACACACGCUCUGACGUCCUCCUUCGCGCCUCGAGUGUAACUCACACACUGACCACACCCGCCCUGCGUGGUCCUCCCCAGCGUUCUCCCUGUGCUGGGACCUUGCACCCAUACACACAUCCUCUGUGCACGUGCAUCCUGGUGCACCCAUGGGGAUCCUCCAUUCAGCUCCUCUUUUGCCCCCAACAACUCUGUUCUCCUUGAAACUAUGUCCUGGGUCCUCCGCAGGGAAAACCAAGAGCCAUUAUUUCUUUCUCUCCACCCCCUCGAGACCCCCUCCCCCACCUCCUCAUAGGCUCCCCUUCCCCUCUUCCUCUACCUCUCUGGAGGCACCAUCCAGAUCCAACUAGAAACUCUUUUCCCAGAACUUUACAAAGUCACCGCAGCCCUGUCCAGGGGGCAAACCCCUUUACACACACUGUGAAGGUGUCCAAACUUGGCCCCAUUACGUUUCAGGAGUGUCCCUAAGGCUGUCUUUCUCUCAAAGUGGGGGUCACUGAAGGGUAAGCCAGGAAGGAACAGGGCGAGGUCAUGUCUGCCACGUGGGCCAGGAGCUUCCUCGUCCCUUCAAGAUUCCCAGCCAGCCUUAGCCCUCGCUUCAGGCGAGGCCAUCUGGAAUACCAGCAUGAGCUUAUAUCCGCUUCGGAGCGGGGGUCCUCCAAACACUCAGACCAGCGACUCUUCAAACGAAGGGCCGUUUCCCCCUCAGACGGAGGGUUCUAUGAGGGAUGGGGGUGGACUGAAAAGGGAAAGGGGGUGCUCCAGAAAUGCCCGCAAGACUUGCACUCAGGACCUCAGGGUGUGACGGAGCCGGCGCUCCAAGCCUUAAAUUCCUUUCCAUCUGAGUGAGUGCUUCCCAUGACAAAAAUAUGGAAAAACGAUUCUCCUUUUCCCAGGAAUAGGGGAUUAGGGAAGAACGUCUUUCUUCUCUCUUGUGUCAUGCGCAUGUGUGUGUGUGUAUGUGUAUGUGUGUGGGUUUUCUCUGUUCUCUGUUUCCACAGGACUGGAUAUGAUGUCGAAAGAAAUACAGAUGUGCAUUUGCCCCGAAAUGAUGUGAAUUGCAGGCCAUAUUCCCUGGGUUGGGGGGAAAGGGAGGGCGGUGCGUUCAGCCUGGACACAGCAAGGCACGGCUGAGCGCACGUCCCAGCGGCCCGGGUGGUAGCCAGGAAAUUCGGAGCACAGCUGUCCUGCCUUCCCCCCACACGUUUCUUCCCGCCCCACCACACAUUUGAACCCCCCACUCUGGCCAUCCCCAGCACCACGCACUCACGCCACUCUUUCCUUGGCUCACUGAGCUGCCCCCGCCUAGGACCCGGCCCCGGCCGUCCCCACCUCUCCUCCUGAUCAGAAUCCUGCCAACUUUUCAGGGUCUAGCUCGGGGCUCAUCCCCUCCGGUGGCCCGGGGGACCUACUCUCACCCAUCCAGUGGUUACAUCUGGUAAGUCACCCCCCCACCAGACAGUGACCUCUUGAAGGCCGUGGCGACUCCUUCUCCUGUCUCCCUCGCAGCCCAGCUGGGCCCAGGGCUAGGCACACAGGAAGCGCUCUCUGAAUAUGUGUUGAUUAUAUUGGAGUCAUAAAUGUCUGAGCUGGAAGGAACCUCAGAGAUCAUGGAGUUCAACUUCUUCAUUUUACAGAUGAGGAAACAGAGGCCCACGGAAGGGAAAUGCAUGGUUGAGGAUCACACCAUGAGUUCCUGGUAAGGCCAGGAUUAGAACCCAGGUGUCCUGGCUCCCCGUCCCAGGGCGCUUCCCAACAUACUUUGCUGCCCCCCUCCAUGAUGACCACAAGAAAGAAUCAACUUAACGCCUCCGUUCCAAUUGUUUUUUUAAAGAGGAAAGCAAAGAUUGGAGAGAAAGGAGGUUAAUCUGUUCCCAAUUCCCUUCUCUUCUUCCACAAAAUGUUCGGUCUGAGAGGGAGCGAGAAACGAGUUAAGCAGUGGGUGUCAGGCAUCCGAGUCCCCCCCAGUACCUCAAUUUCCCUUUCUUCCAAAGGAAGCGCCCCGCCUCCUCGCCACCCCUAUAUGCUACCUAGAAGGAAAGGAGAGAGAAGAGCAGAGCCCGGAGAUGGCAAGGGGGGCCGGAGAGGGCCCUGCGGUAUUUGGGGUCUGGCAGAGGAGCCCUCCCCACGCUCCCCGCUCCAAAGGCAGCGACACACUCACGUGCUGCCACUGGUCCAGGAUCAGCGGCCGGUAUCGAAGGAAGAACUUGAGAGGGAACGACUCGGGAUCGGGCCAGGAGGAGGGGGUCUGCCAGGUCACCUCCAGGCGUCGAGGGCUGCUCGGUACAGGCCGGGCCACAACAUUCUCCGGAGGGUCGGGCUUCACUGAUUGGAAAAAGCACCACCCACAGCGUCAGCAACCUCGUCGCCAGCCUCGUCCCCAGAGCCAUCAUCCCCGUUCUCGGUGUCCCCACCAGGACCCACUUCAUUAAGGCGGCUCAGCCCUGCGGCUCAUGCCGGGCUCUGCCUCGCUGCCCUGCCACUGAGAGACUCCCGAAGCUGUCGGGAAGCAGGGGCGCCUCCCCCCCACCUUUGCCCCUGGGGGAGAGGGAAAGGGCGCCCUCUUCCCUCCAGGGCCCUUCUCCACUUCACAGCCCCGUCCCUCCGGCCUGGGACGCACGGAGGCCGGGGCUCUACUCUGCCUUCCCCUGGGGUUCUAGUUACGGACCCAGGCCAGGGUUGGAGCGUUCAAGGCCAGCGCAGAGGGAUCUCUGCUCUACGGGAGAUGGGGACCGGCUGCGAAGAAGCUGAGCGCACAUUUGGGAGGAGAGGAAAGGACCAAGACGGAGGAAGGCAGAAAAAGAGCGGGUCUGCAGAGCAGAGGACGGGCCAGGCUAGACGAGAAGUGGUAAAAAAUGGCUGAGAGAAAAGAGGGGCCGAUAAAGCGAGCCUAGUGGGGUCUGCAGAGAGGAGAGGAGGGGAAAAGUGAAGGGCCUAGGACAGACUAGGAAGAAUGGAGAAGGCUGGAAGACACAGGUCUGAGGAUGGAUAAAGGAAAGUGGGAUAAAGGGUUGGAGGGAUAGGGUAAGGAUGGGAGGGGAAGACCUAGGGGACCAAGAGACAGGACAGAAGGAGGCGGAGGGGUACUUUAGGGUCAGGGUGGGAGGGGACCACAGGGGGAUCUGGGAGGGACAGGACAGGAUGGGGGAGGGGAGCCCGGGGGAGACAGAGGAGGUCUGGAGUGAGGAGGCCAGGGAGGGGUAGGAGAGGCGCCUAUCCCAGCCCUGUCUCUUGCUCUGACACCUCAUUCAUCACCCGAAACUUAAGGAAGCCAUUAAGUUGGGUGGAAGGGGCUGGGGUUGGGGGCGGGGGCUGCAGCUGUUCUGCAUAAUAGCCCUCAGCUCUGCCUUCAUCCAGCACCUCCACUCUUCUUCCCACCCAGAAUGCAGUCAGGUUCAGGGAUCUCAGGGUCCAUUCAUUCAUUCCCCUGCCCACACGGAAAGGAUAUAUCAGCAGGUCCUCCAAGUCAGCCAAGUAGGGGGCAUGGGACAACAUCCCAAUAAAUGAGAGCUCCAGAACUGUUCACCCCCAUACCCGAGACACCCCUAAGGGGUCAUCUGAGGAAAGGCAUGACUCCUACCUUCAAGGACAUGGCUUCAGACACGGCUGCCAUCUGUGGCAAGUCUGGUUCCCACGGGAAACCUCAGGAAGGGAAACCUGGUGGUCCAAGUCAAAGCAGCAGCAGCAGCAGCAGCAGGGGCGGCUGCUCUAGAGGGCACCGGUGUUUAUUGAGUGUGUUGGAGCAGUAGGCUGUUAAUGAUGGAGGUAAUGAUUUCCCCAGCUAAAGGAGAUAAUGGGCAGUUAAUUACCUGCCUCUGGGAAAUCAAGGAAGGGACAGCCCAAACUGGAGGGAGCUAAAGAAGCCACCAGCAUCACCACCAGUGGCAGCUAACCACUGAAUGCACGUGUGUCCACGGUAAGGCAUGUGCUUAUGCCUCAGCUCAAACUGACACAUUUUUCUAUCCUGUUAAACAGUCUAUUCACCGUCUGAAUCCAGUUCAAGACUUCCCUCCCCCAAGAAGCCAGUAUUAAUCGAUCCUACUCUGACUACAGUCACUCUAUAGUCUUUUUUACCUUCUGUCUUAAGUAUCAAGUUCCAAGGCAGAAGAACAGUAAUGGGGUAUAAGUGACUUGCUCAGGGUCAUGCAGCUAAGAUGUAUCUGAGACCAGAUUUGAACCCAGGACUUCCCAUCUCCCAGUUGAUUUAGCUGCCCUUGUCACUCUAUGCUCUUAAAGACUGGUGGUAGAUGAAUUCCUGGUGCCCACACCUUACCU